rnacentral:rRNA from 1 species
UACGUAGGGGGCGAGCGUUGUCCGGAAUUACUGGGCGUAAAGGGUGCGUAGGCGGUACUUUAAGUUGGAUGUGAAAUACCCGGGCUUAACUUGGGGGGUGCAUCCAAUACUGGAGAACUAGAGUGCAGGAGAGGGAAGCGGAAUUCCUAGUGUAGCGGUGAAAUGCGUAGAUAUUAGGAGGAACACCAGUGGCGAAGGCGGCUUUCUGGACUGUAACUGACGCUGAGGCACGAAAGCGUGGGGAG